rnacentral:lncRNA from 1 species
UGUUUGUGAGGUGUGUGUGUGUGUGUGUGUGUGUGUGUGUGUGUGUGUGUUUGCACUCUCCACCGCUAAAUUAAACAAAUCUCCACAGUGACUGCCAGUCUAACGACAAAAAGUCCUGAUCCGAACAAUGACUCCAAACAGACUUCCCAGAGCCCUACCACCAAGUCCCCUGCAGACCCCAAUAAAGAUGCAGAAGGUGAUGCCAAAGACCAAGAGACAGGAACUGAAGUGAAGCCAGCAGUCAAUGAGACAAAUGAAUUGCCAUCUGAUACAGGAUCUGGAACAAACAAUCAGCAGAGUGGCCAAAAUGCAGAAGGUGAUGCCAAAGACCAAGAGACAGACCGGAGAAUCCUGUGGAUUUUGUUGCCUGUUUUGGGUGUGUUGGUGGCAGGUGUGAUCUUUGUCCUCAAGUUCAAAUGCAUGAAAGUGCAUGAUCAUGCAGGUGAGUCAGUGUGUGUUUGUGUGUGUGUGUGUGUGUGUGUGUGUGUGUGUGUGUGUGUGUGUGUGUGUGUGUGUGUGUGUGUGUGUGUGUGUGUGUGUGUGUAUGAAG